GGGGGGGGGUCUACUGUCCCCAGUUACCUUGUGUAUGAGGUGUUAUGGGGGGGGGGACCUACUGUCCCCAGUUACCUUGUGUAUGAGGUGUUAUGGGGGGGGGGACCUACUGUCCCCAGUUACCUUGUGUAUGAGAUGUGUUAUGGGGGGGGGGGACCUACUGUCCCCAGUUACCUUGUGUAUGAGGUGUUAUGGGGGGGUCUACUGUCCCCAGUUACCUUGUGUAUUAGGUGUUAUGGGGGAUGGGGUCUACUGUCUCCAGUUACCUUGUGUAUGAGGUGUUAUGGGGGGGGGUCUACUGUCCCCAGUUACCUUGUGUAUGAGAUGUGUUAUGGGGGGGGACCUACUGUCCCCAGUUACCUUGUGUAUGAGGUGUUAUGGGGGGGGGUCUACUGUCCCCAGUUACCUUGUGUAUGAGGUGUUAUGGGGGGGGGGGACCUACUGUCCCCAGUUACCUUGUGUAUGAGGUGUUAUGGGGGGGACCUACUGUCCCCAGUUACCUUGUGUAUGAGGUGUUAUGGGGGGGGGGACCUACUGUCCCCAGUUACCUUGUGUAUGAGAUGUGUUAUGGGGGGGGACCUACUGUCCCCAGUUACCUUGUGUAUGAGGUGUUAUGGGGGGGGGUCUACUGUCCCCAGUUACCUUGUGUAUGAGGUGUGUAAUGGGGGGGGGACCUACUGUCCCCAGUUACCUUGUGUAUGAGGUGUUAUGGGGGGGGGUCUACUGUCCCCAGUUACCUUGUGUAUGAGGUAUGUAAUGGGGGGGGGACCUACUGUCCCCAGUUACCUUGUGUAUGAGGUGUUAUGGGGGGGGGUCUACUGUCCCUAGUUACCUUGUGUUUGAGGUGUGUAAUGGGGGGGGGGGACCUACUGUCCCCAGUUACCUUGUGUAUGAGGUGUGUUAUGGGGAGGGGGGUACUGUCUCCUGUUACUUUGUGCGUGAGGUGUGUUAUGG